AUGAAGAGUCUUUUAAGGAUUGUAAGGAUAUUUUGUCAUGUCUUUCGAAUUGGUCCUUGCUUCCCCAGUAAUGGCAUCGAUAUGGGCUACAAUGGAAAUAAAACUCCAAGAAGCCAGGUGUUCAAGUUUCUUUUUGGUACCGGGAAUCGAGCUCGGGACCUUGCACUUACAAGGCAGGCGGCAGCACCACUGAGCUAAAUCCCUGGCCUCCAGUUUCUUUUAUCUGUGUCUACUUCAUUUUUAAAGGUAUUUUCAGCAUCACUGACAAGUGCUCUUGCCAUUGACUGCUUAUUUUUUCUUGAAUUAUGAACUUCUUUUUGGUAAAACAUUUGUAUUCCAAAAUGCAGCUAAUUUUUAAAAGCAUUAACACAUGUUAACUCCUAAGGAGUUUAUUGGUCUGUUUGUAUCCACUUUUAUGAACUGAGUGAUUCAAGUUGUGAAAAUCUUUACUGUUUGCUGAGUUGCUUAAGUGUUAGACUGGAAAUAUCAUUUUAACUUUUACCACAUUUUUUUCUAAGGUAGCAAUUGAUCCCUACUUUCCAUUUCAUUAAUAGGCACUUUUAACAUUUCACUUCACUGUUAGGAUUAACUAAUGGGUUUUUCAUUAAAAAUGAGUGGCUUUAAAGCUAUAUGUUUUCAAUAGAUGAAGUUGUUUAUAUUAUUUUCUGAUUUUAGAAGUCCUUUAAGUUAAUCAUAACACAACCAUUCUUUCAGUGUUAAGAGACUUUUAACUUUUAGGAACUUUGGAAUAUUUGAAGGUGAAACUUUUUAUUGUCUCAGCAGGAUGAGCAUGGGGAGGACAAUUUAUGAUGUGCUUUUAUUUUGAGAAAAGUAAGUUUAUGACUUUUAAUGAUUUCAUAGGAUUGUAAUUUGGAUGCCAAGGAAGAUUGAGAAAUUUAACUUGAUGAUCUUAUCAUUUGGAUUUUGAUAGUUGAUAUUACCAAGUGGAGAAGAGUCAGGCUUAGAGAGUAUUUCAAUAUACUAUAUACAAUAUUAAUGAAUUUAGUCAUGCUUUCUUGUCAAAUUGCACCUCACGUCAGCACACCUUGAUAUUUUAAAAAAGUUUUAAGUAACUUUGGGA
rnacentral:lncRNA from 1 species